GGAGGGCUUGGUAAAAAUGACUUGUCCUCCCACUACUUUUUCAAGCAAGAACAUCUCAUGAGUGGAAUUCAACUCAUAGGAACUCUGGAGCCAAUCCAUAUAAAACCUUUGCUAGAACUUAGCUUCCUACAAAAUAUGAUGGUGCUGUUAGCAUUUUAAAAGUACAUCAAUUACAAUUUUCUUUCAAUUUGCUACUCUCUGAAUGGUUUGUGACUUAAUUGUAACAAAAUUCUAUUGGACAAGCCUUCAUUGAGUGCAUUAGAUAGAUUUGUAGUGACUGUGCUGCUGGGUUUUUUUUAAGUGUUACAGAUAAUCCUCUGCCAUCUGUCUUUAUUUUGUUAACCACUCAACUAGAGACAUAUUUAUGAAGAAAUAACUGCAACACUUCUUAUAAGGAAAAUCUGGGAGAAGUGGGAAAAAAAGAUCUUCACAGAAAUGCACUCACGUUCCAAACAGUUCAAUUUUACUAUGUACAUGCAUAGUUGCUCCUUUUCAGUUAGAAGCUCACAAGGAAAGCUUUUAAUCAAAAUGUCUGUGAACAUGGCAACAGGAACUUGGGCUCAUGAGAGAGAGGGUUCAGGGAGAGAAAUUGGUCCCUGUCUGCUAUGGAGUUACUUGUCCCUGCUUUAGAUUAUGUCAUCUUCCACUUACAGCCUUUCCAUGCUUUCUACUACUGCUUCUGUAUUUCUCCUGCAGGAAACUUGUAGAGAACUGAAAGCUGAAACAGCUGAACAGCAUUUUCUGACUGAUACCAUGAGAAGUAAUCUGCCUGGAACAGGGAUAUAAAAAUAAAUCCCCGAAGAGAAAUAGUGUCUCAACAUAUCACGAUACAUUGUAGAAAAGAAAAGAAAGGCCAACUGCAGUGAGAUGUUUUUCAUAUUUUGGAAAGUUUUUGGAGAAACGUCGAGUGAGAGGAAGCUGAAGUGGUCUAUUAGAUGGAGGAGUGCUAUUCAAAAGAAAUUUCAAGUGAGACUCUACUGUAUGACAUUGGAGAUACAUUUGAACUUUGGUAUUUUUAUUUUGAAAUUACAAAUUAUUGACAAAAAAGAUAAGCAGACAUAUAUGGCAGAACAUUAGCUUUAAGAGUUCCUUGUACAAACAUUUUAAACUACAAUAUCAGUGUAGGUAUGGGACUGGUAUUUGUGGUUUCAUUUAUCCAAGUUUCACAAAAUAUGUUCUCUUUCAGAAUUGUUCAGAUCCUCCAGUGUGACUCUAUGGUAUUCUUGGGCUGGAAGUGCUUCAUUUCAAUAUUACCACUGGUUUCAUGUAUCCACAUGAAGUCUGGGUAUGCCCCUGUGGAUACAGAGAUACCAUAGAAUCAUAGAAUCAUAGAGUUGGAAAAGACCUCAUGGGACAUCCAGUCUAACUCCCUGCCAAGAAGCAGGAAAUCACAUUCAAAUUCAUACCGUGAAGGAGAGUGCAUGUGUGCAGUGUUAGUUAUUACUAUUAUUUAUUUAUUUAUAUGCUGCUUUUUCUCUUAAGAGAAACCCAGAGUGGUGAUUGACCCUAAUGGCUAUAAAAAUAAAUUUUAUUAUAGGAAUUUCAUUAGAGAUAUGGAAGUUGUCUAAAGGUGCUAAGUUAAGCUGGAAUAAAAGGACAAAGUUAAUAUCACCUUUGGAGCAGUGGAAGAGCAAAAAGAAGCUGGGAAGAAGAAGUGGAAUUGUCUUUAAGAAUAUCAGUCUAGAGGUCUUAGGAUAGGUGUAUAAGACAUGAGAUUUUAGGUUAUUGAAACAUUAAUUCAUUUUCUCAGAGCUACACCCACUAAGACACACUUACCUUUAAACAGAGCGUGUUGUUGCAUUUCCAACAUACGUCAAUUAACCAAGCAGGUGUGUUUUGAAGCAUUACUGUUUUAAUUUAAUUUGUAUUUAAUAGUCUUAUCUUGGAAUCUAAGCAGUAUCAGAAGGGCUUUUGCAUGGAUAGGAGAACACCAAUGUGCAUUAGGUACUAUAGGCUAUAUUUCAGAGGAAGGAACUGACAAAACCACCUCUGUGUAUUUGUUGGUUAAGAAAACCCUAUGAAAUUCAUGAGGUCACCAUAAGUUGGCAGGUGACUUGAAGGCACACUCUCUCACACACAUACUUUCCCAGCUCAGAUGUUACUGCUUUGUUUACAGCAGACACACUGCUGCAGCUCAAUAUCAAAAGUAUGUGCUAAUCCAGUCCUUCACCAUCUUCUCAAUACCAAUGUUAUUGUACAUUACCAGCAAGCUGACUUCAACUUGGGUUGAGCCUAAAAAGCUAAACAGAGGUUAAAAGGGAAGUGGGUAGUUUUUAAAAAACUUAAAAGGAACUUCUUUGCCAAAGACUUUUGUUGAUAGAAUUAUGCAUGCAUGUGAAGAAUUAGAAGAAAUUGGCCCUAUGUGGGACUCGAAUUUUGCUCUACAAUGCUUAUAGAUUUUAGCAUGCAGAGUUACAGAUCUGAAAACCCUUCAUGUAAGCUGCAGAAAUCUUUGUCCUUUCCAGAUAUGCAGAAGGACCUCUGAAUAUGUUAUCUGGCAGUUUCACUAGAACUUUGGAGACCAGGGAUCAAAUACUUUUUGACCCACCGGAUGGUCUUCAGCAAGUGAUAUUCUCCUAGUUUCAAAGGAAGACAACGGCAAACUCCUUUGAACAUACCUUAUCAAGAAAACACUGUGUUAGGUUCACUUUAGGAUCACAACGAGCUGG
rnacentral:lncRNA from 1 species